AACGCGAAGAACCUUACCGGGGCUUGACAUCCUGCGCACAUCUAGGAGACUAGAUUUCCGGGCAACCGGACGCAGAGACAGGUGCUGCAUGGCUGUCGUCAGCUCGUGCCGUGAGGUGUUGGGUUAAGUCCCGCAACGAGCGCAACCCUUGCCGUGUGUUGGUCGCAAGAUCUCUCACGCGGGACCGCCGGUGACAAGCCGGAGGAAGGUGGGGAUGAUGUCAAGUCAGCAUGGCCCUUACGUCCCGGGCUACACACGUGCUACAAUGGGAGGGACAACGAGUCGCGAACCCGCGAGGGCAAGCUAAUCUCACAAACCCUCUCUCAGUUCGGAUUGAAGGCUGCAACUCGCCUUCAUGAAGUCGGAAUCGCUAGUAACCGUAGAUCAGCUACGCUGCGGUGAAUACGUUCCCGGGCCUUGUA
rnacentral:rRNA from 1 species